AAUUCUCAACUCUCUUAUACUUUUUGGUAAAGGAGAGCUUGGAUUGUGGAGGCUUGCUGGCUACUUGUUUGUGGUCAGCUCCUCUGAAAUGCAGUAGCGGAACCAUUUGCGAUCUGCCACAAGUGUGAUAAGUUAUCUACACUGGCGAGGGGAUUGCUCUGUGUUGUUCUGCUUCCAAUUGUCUACUUCGUGAGACUACUUAUUGUAU
rnacentral:misc_RNA from 1 species